UACGUAGGUGGCAAGCGUUGUCCGGAUUUAUUGGGUUUAAAGAAUGCGUAGGCAACCUUGUAAGUCAAUAAUGAAAUAUGGCAGCUUAACUAUCAAGGUGCCAUUGAUACUGCGGAGCUUGAGUACAGAUGAGGUAGGCGGAAUUGACGGUGUAGCGGUGAAAUGCUUAGAUAUCGUCAAGAACACCUAUAGCGAAAGCAACUUACUAAGCUGUAACUGACGCUGAGGCACGAAAGUGUGGGGAUCAAACAGG
rnacentral:rRNA from 1 species